rnacentral:rRNA from 1 species
AGUUAACGCUGGCGGCGUGCCUAACACAUGCAAGUCGAGCGAGCUUGUAGCAAUACAAGUUAGCAGCAAACGGGUGAGUAACACAUGGGAAACCUCCCUCAGAAUGGGGAACAUCUCCGAGAAAUCGGAGCUAAUACCGCAUAAGACCACAGUCUGGCAUCAGACAGGGGUAAAAGCAGCAAUGCGUUUUGAGAUGGUCCUGUGUCCUAUCAGCUAGUUGGUGAGGUAACGGCUCACCAAGGCUAAGACGGGUAUCCGGCCUGAAAGGGUGAACGGACACACU